rnacentral:rRNA from 1 species
CCUGGUGGCGAGUGGCGAACGGGUGAGUAAUAUAUCGGAACGUGCCCAGUCGUGGGGGAUAACGUAGAGAAAUUUACGCUAAUACCGCAUACGAUCUAAGGAUGAAAGCGGGGGACUUCGCGAGAGGCCUCGCGCGAUUGGAGCGGCUGAUAUCAGAUUAGGUUGUUGGUGAGGUAAAAGCUCACCAAGCCGACGAUCUGUAGCUGGUUUGAGAGAACGACCAGCCACACUGGGACUGAGACACGGCCCAGACUCCUACGGGAGGCAGCAGUGGGGAAUUUUGGACAAUGGGCGAAAGCCUGAUCCAGCAAUGCCGCGUGUGGGAAGAAGGCCUUCGGGUUGUAAACCACUUUUGUACGGAACGAAAAGGUCUGCCCUAAUACGGUGGGCUCAUGACGGUACCGUAAGAAUAAGCACCGGCUAACUACGUGCCAGCAGCCGCGGUAAUACGUAGGGUGCGAGCGUUAAUCGGAAUUACUGGGCGUAAAGCGUGCGCAGGCGGUUAUAUAAGACAGUUGUGAAAUCCCCGGGCUCAACCUGGGAAUUGCAUCUGUGACUGUAUAGCUAGAGUACGGUAGAGGGGGAUGGAAUUCCGCGUGUAGCAGUGAAAUGCGUAGAUAUGCGGAGGAACACCGAUGGCGAAGGCAAUCCC